rfam:Schistosoma haematobium scaffold1816_6, whole genome shotgun sequence.
AUCCAGCUGACGAGUCCCAGGCACGGAGAAACACGCGUCCUGGAU